rnacentral:sRNA from 1 species
GGGAGUGGAGGAGAGAAGGGGUUAUAGAAGAGGAAGUGUAAGCGGCGUUGUGAAGGAGGGAGGAGGGGAACGGGGCUCGAACUUAGAGAACUCUGAGACCUCCAUGGAAUGGAUGGGAUGAAGGGAACCUGAUGGGCACUGCGGAGAAGGUGGGGAAGAGGGAGGCGGGAAGGCUGGAGAGCAGUGGAGGAGACACAGGGAUUGGGGGCAGGGAGGCCGGGAAGGAAUGGGAUGGCAAGAAGAGAAGGAAAGCCAAAGAAGUAUAGGGAGAGGGCUGGAACGAAGUAGGAAGGAUGAGGGUUAAUGCUGUCGCGGAGCCAGAAGGUAGAGGCAGGACAGGGAUGCCAGGAGGGAACCGAGGAGGACCUGCCGGUGGGUGGUAAAGAGAGGCAGUACAGCUGGGGAGAGUUGGGAGCUCAGGACAAGGGAGAGCGUUGCCUGGGUUUUCUGGAGCUCCACUGUUAGCCAGACUCAUCGGUCACCAUUCUAGGAGGGGCUUUGGAGGGAGUCUCAUGGGGGGGGGAGUGGGGCCAGUCUUGGGCCUGGCAAGGAGGAGAAAGAUCAGGAGUGCUGGCUCUGAGCCCCCCAUCCCCCACCCCCCACCCCAGACCUGUCAGUGACCAGGCGCCUGUGCAGAGUAGAGGCAAGGCCCAGCCCCCUACACUCUCACCUUCCCAGGUGAGGGCAGAGGGUGCUGGGACACAUGGAGAGGUGUGAAGCUGGUGCCAGCCUAGGAAAGAGGGGGUGGGGCAGGAUGCCUGGGAGAGGUCACAAGGGCGCUGCUCUUCUCCACUUCUCUGCGGAUGCUCUCACCUGCCUAGCAUUGAGGAAGGGGCUUGGGACAGAGGAACCCAGGAGGGCUGGGAGGAAGCAGUUUCACUGCAGCCAGACACCCCAAGUUCUUCCAGUAUUAAAGUUCUCUCUGCUUCCUGUUCUGCCAAGAUGUGAAGAGCUACAGUCAUGUGAGCAGGCUGCCUCACGCUCUGCAAGCACAGCCAUGAAACAUAGUCACCUCCUUGACUUCCCUUCCAUGACGGACUGGACCUGCAAACUGGGAGCCAAGCAAGUCCUCCUUGCCCAUGGAAGCCAGAAGAAGGUGCCAGAUUCUCUGGAGUUGUAGUGAGCUGCCAUGCAGAUGCUGUAAUUGAACCCGGAUCCUCGUCAAAGCAGCCGUGCUCUUAACUGCUGAGCCAUCUCGCUAGCCUCUGAAGCUUCUAUUUAAAGGCCUAGGAGAUGGUCUUUGGGCAACUGGGGUGGUAUGAACUUGGGCUUCCUUAGAAGCAUCAAAGAGCUGUUGUCACUGCUGUUAGAUGGACUGUUAGAUGUUAGACGUCAUGACAGGCUGUGCCUCUUCAAAUCAUAAAUCAUACAGCCUUCUUGAAGGUUUUGUUUGUUUGUGUAUUGUUUUUUGCCAGGUGUUUGGUCAGAAAUGAGGAAGGUCCCUGACAGUGGGUUAUGGACACUUACCACAAUUUCUCCAAUGUUGUAUGUACCUGAAUGCUGCCUGGGAGCGUGUGAGGGGAGAUGAGCUGUGUG